rnacentral:piRNA from 1 species
UAGCACCGUCACGAGCUCAGGGAGCC